CGUGUGCCAAUAAUAAUGAUUUUUUGUUGUGUGUCUACCAGGGACAGAAGGGCGACCAGGGUCAAGACGGAGACCCUGGGGAGGUGAGUGAGUCAAAGUGCCUGAUAAUGUCAGUAUCAACAUCUGGAGCGAAGGAUGAACCUACAGACACAUGCAAAUGAAACCUUCCGUAAUGAAUAAGAUUAGAAGGACUAAGAUUACAUGAACUCCUACUCUGAGACAUUUUAUGAACACAUGCCCUGGUCUCUCUGGUCUCCCCAUAGGUGACCAUGAUUGGCUGUGCCGUAAUUGGCCCGAAAGGACAACCAGGAUUUACUGGCCCCCUGGGGCCCACUGGGGUUACUGGUCCCCCAGGUACUCUACGCUCAUCCGGCAUACAGUACACACCCUUAUUGAUAUUCACCCUCCUCCUAUCCAAUCAGAUGUGAAGUAGCACUGUAUAAUCCUGCCUCAUUAACCAACAUGACCAAUCAGUGUGUCCGUAUAGCUAAUAAUAUCAACCUGUUUUCCAGGUGUCACUGGUUUCCAGGGGCCUCCUGGGUCUCCAGGUAAGCGCUGAUCCACACGCAAGCACUCACACACACACACACACACACACACACACACACACAUAUACUCAGUCUCCAUCAUGGGCUAUCUCCCCCUACACAGGUCCUAACUACGAAGGAGAUCCCGACAAUCGGGGAGUGAAGGGCCACAGUGGGCCUAAAGGGGAUAAAGGAGACCCAGGACCCAUCAUCCAGGGAGAGCCAGGCAGGGAAGGCUCACAAGGAACAACUGGAGACCUUGGACCCCCGGGACCACCUGGAGACUCUGAUAAUCUGAAGGGCCUUAUAGGACCUCCGGGGGCAAAGGGAGCCAAGGGAGAACAAGGGUACAGGGGCCAAUAUGGAUUGAAAGGUGAGAAAGGGGAGGUCUGUAGUUUGUGUACGGGAAAAGGGUCUGGAGAGCCGGGACUCCCAGGUUCCCCUGGUCAGCCUGGACUCCCAGGUACCUGCAACGUAACAGAACUUUCAGCGAGAAAUGUAUUGUGUAGAACAAAAAUCAUUGUCUGUCCUAUAGAAUAG
rnacentral:lncRNA from 1 species